UUCAAACUAUGCUAAAAUGCCACGGUAAUGAAACCAUCAUGAUACUGGUACCAAAACAAAGGUAUAGACCAAUGGUACAUAACAGAGACCUUGGAAGUAAUGCUACACAUCUACAACUGUCUGAUCUUUGACAAACCUGAC